rnacentral:rRNA from 1 species
UACGUAAGGUGCAAGCGUUGUCCGGAAUUAUUGGGCGUAAAGAGCUCGUAGGCGGUUUGUCGCGUCUGCUGUGAAAACCUAGGGCUUAACUCUGGGCGUGCAGUGGGUACGGGCAGGCUAGAGUGCGGUAGGGGAGACUGGAAUUCCUGGUGUAGCGGUGAAAUGCGCAGAUAUCAGGAGGAACACCGGUGGCGAAGGCGGGUCUCUGGGCCGUAACUGACGCUCAGGCGCGACAGCGUGGGGAUCAAACAGG